GACCCGCCGUUCUCACUACGGAGCGGCUGACCGGGAGGAGUAACACUGUGGUGACACGUGCUCCUUCAGNUUCGUGAACAACCCAGUGGAAACUUGGGCUAAUACCGGAUACGUCCGUAUUGAGAAAGAUUAUCGCUGAAGGAUCGGCCCGCGUCUGAUUAGCUAGUUGGUGGGGUAACGGCCCACCAAGGCGACGAUCAGUAUCUGGUCUGAGAGGAUGAUCAGCCUCACUGGGACUGAUACACGGCCCAUACUCCUACGGGAUGCAGCAGUGGGGAAUAUUGGACAAUGGGCGCAAGCCUGAUCCAGCCAUGCCGCGUGGGUGAUGAAGGCCUUAGGGUUGUAAAGCCCUUUCGGCGGGGAAGAUAAUGACUGUACCCGCAGAAGAAGCCCCGGCUAACUUCGUGCCAGCAGCCGCGGUAAU
rnacentral:rRNA from 1 species